UACGUAGGGGGCAAGCGUUAUCCGGAUUUACUGGGUGUAAAGGGAGCGCAGACGGCAGUGCGAGUCUGGAGUGAAAGCCCGGGGCCCAACCCCGGGACUGCUCUGGAAACUGUACGGCUAGAGUACGGGAGGGGCAGGCGGAAUUCCUAGUGUAGCGGUGAAAUGCGUAGAUAUUAGGAGGAACACCGGCGGCGAAGGCGGCCUGCUGGACCGAAACUGACGUUGAGGCUCGAAAGCGUGGGGAGCAAACAGG
rnacentral:rRNA from 1 species